rnacentral:rRNA from 1 species
CCUACGGGAGGCAGCAGUGAGGAAUAUUGGUCAAUGGGCGCGAGCCUGAACCAGCCAAGUAGCGUGAAGGAUGACUGCCCUACGGGUUGUAAACUUCUUUUGUCGGGGAACAAAGGCGGAGACGCGUCUCCGGAUGAGUGUACCCGAAGAAAAAGCAUCGGCUAACUCCGUGCCAGCAGCCGCGGUAAUACGGAGGAUGCGAGCGUUAUCCGGAUUUAUUGGGUUUAAAGGGUGCGCAGGCGGGAGAUCAAGUCAGCGGUAAAAUGUCGGGGCUCAACCCCGGCCGGCCGUUGAAACUGGUUUUCUAGAGUUGGAGAGAAGUAUGCGGAAUUCGUGGUGUAGCGGUGAAAUGCAUAGAUAUCACGAAGAACUCCGAUUGCGAAGGCAGCAUACCGGCUCCAUACUGACGCUGAGGCACGAAAGCGUGGGGAUCGAACAGGAUUAGAUACCCUGGUAGUC